UUSGAUUGGGCAAGUCUGGUGCCAGCAGCCGCGGUAACUCCAGCUCCAAUAGCGUAUAUUAAAGUUGUUGCAGUUAAAAAGCUCGUAGUUGAAUUUCGGGAUUGACACAUCGGUCGUGCCUUAAGGGGUAUGAACUGGUGUAGUCAGUUUCUCACCUUCUGGAGAACCGCGAUGUCCUUAAUUGGGUGCCGCGAGGAACCAGGACCUUUACUUUGAAAAAAUUAGAGUGUUUAAAGCAGGCAUUUUGCUUGAAUACAUUAGCAUGGAAUAAUAAAAUAGGACGGAUGGUUCUAUUUUGUUGGUUUCUAGGAUCACCGUAAUGAUUAAUAGGGAUAGUUGGGGGCAUUAGUAUUCAAUUGUCAGAGGUGAAAUUCUUGGAUUUAUUGAAGACUAACUACUGCGAAAGCAUUUGCCAAGGAUGUUUUCAUUAAUCAAGAACGAAUGUUAGGGGAUCGAAGACGAUCAGAUACCGUCGUAGUCUUAACCAUAAACUAUGCCGACUAGGGAUCGGACGAAGUUAAUUUUAUAAUGACGCGUUCGGCACCUUACGGGAAACCAAAGUGUUUGGGUUC
rnacentral:rRNA from 1 species